rnacentral:rRNA from 1 species
UACGUAGGGUGCGAGCGUUGUCCGGAAUUAUUGGGCGUAAAGAGCUCGUAGGCGGUGUGUCACGUCGGCCGUGAAAACCUGCAGCUUAACUGUGGGCGUGCGGUCGAUACGGGCAUCACUGGAGUUCGGCAGGGGAGACUGGAAUUCCUGGUGUAGCGGUGAAAUGCGCAGAUAUCAGGAGGAACACCGGUGGCGAAGGCGGGUCUCUGGGCCGAUACUGACGCUGAGAAGCGAAAGCAUGGGGGAGCGAACAGG